rnacentral:rRNA from 1 species
GUAGUCUCGCACAGAUGCAUAUCAAUAAGCGGAGGAAAAGAAACUAACAAGGAUUCCCCUAGUAACGGCGAGUGAAGCGGGAAGAGCUCAAAUUUGAAAUCUUAAAGGGUUUCCCUUUACGAAUUGUAGUUUAAAGAAGUGUUUUCUGUUGAGGUUUUGGUAAAAGUUCUUUGGAAUAGGACAUCAUAGAGGGUGAGAAUCCCGUAUUUGACCUUUACUUUCAACUUUGUGAUACACUUUCAAAGAGUCGGAUUGUUUGGGAAUGCAGUCCAAAAUGGGUGGUAAAUUUCAUCUAAAGCUAAAUAUUGGCGAGAGACCGAUAGCGAACAAGUACCGUGAGGGAAAGAUGAAAAGAACUUUGAAAAGAGAGUUAAACAGUACGUGAAAUUGUCAAAAGGGAAGCGUUUGACACCAGUGUUGUUUUUCUGAAAAUCAAUUAAAGAACUGUUUAUGCUAAGCUGUUUAGACUUUAUCAGCUAACUGUUUAGUUUUGAGCUUUUCUUUAAUGCACUUUUCAGUUAACAAGUCAACAUCAAUUUCUUUUGCUGUAAAAAAGCUUGAGGAAGGUGGCUUGAGAUUCGUCUUAAGUGUUUAUAGCCUCUUGCCUAUGCAGUCGGAGAGAUUGAGGUCUGCAGCGUAGAUCCUUCGGGGCUAAAUGCAUUUGUGCUAAGUUAUAGCAUUGUAUAGACAACUUGUUGACUAUGAUUUGUCUUGUAGCUUACUCGCUUAUGUUAUUUUACCUACGCUUAGGAUGUUGAUCUGUAGUGCGUGCGC